AGCGUGCGAGUGAGGAUCGCCGGUAGCUUAGGCUGCUGGAGGAAAGUCCGAGCUGCUCAGGGCAAGGGUGCCGGGUAACGCCCGGGCGUCGAAAGGCGACGGAAAGUGCAACAGAGAACAGACCGCCGAUGGCCGCUUAGGCGGCACAGGCAAGGGUGAAACGGUGCGGUAAGAGCGCACCGGGCUCCUGGUAACAGUGAGUCGCUGGUAAACCCCACCCGCAGCAAGGCCAAAUAGGGAACGAGGAGU
rnacentral:RNase_P_RNA from 1 species